rnacentral:hammerhead_ribozyme from 1 species
GUCCAGCUGACGAGUCCUAAAUAGGACGAAAUGCGCAUCCUGGAU